rnacentral:lncRNA from 1 species
CUUACAGUUUUUAUCAUGAGCUUGUAAAGCAAUGGACUUUAUUAAAUGCUUUGGGCAAACAAAGGAUUUUUUUUUCUCCCUUGCAUCCUGGACUUGGCUACAUGACACCCAUCACGGAAGAUUUUUUAAAGAUUUUUAAUCAUUGGACACUCAUCUCUUAAAUGGUUCAGUAAUAUAUUCUUGGAAUCACAGAUGUUGAUAUUUUUGAGAUAUUGAUUCUGCUUGUGAUGUUUUAAAGAAGUUUAAAGAAUACCAGGGUCCCAGCAGGCCUACACUUUACAGAAUAACCAAGUACAUUGAUCAGUAACAAAACGAACCCAAUCUUGGUGUGUACGUCUUCAAUAUCAAGUAAUCAUUGCAGCGCAUUACGGAACUCACCAGGGGAAAUACAUCAUACUGAGAACUGUAGAAAUCAAGGUGGAAAAUCUUAAAAGUGGGAUUAAAGGCAGCAAAUUCAUUUGAAAUUUGCUUUUUAUUUACAAACCAGCAGUCUCAUGAAUUGAUAAAAUAAAUAAACACUUAAGAAUAAUAAUUAUUUAACAGAUUAGGCCAAGGAUGCUGUUGCAGUUGGGAGAAACUCAAGCGGCUUUGAUAACCAUAAAUGUUUAUUAAAUCUUAAACUAUGGUUUAGAAUCCUGUGUCUGCAAAGCUAGAAUUGGAACUGUUUCUGAAAUUAACACAGAAAUUUAUCAAAUUCGAGUAUAUGGAAGAUUCCCUAAAUCUGACAGAUUAAAGAAUUCAACCUAUCUGUUCUCUGGGAGGACAGUCUGGGCCCCCGCAAGAAUGAUGAGGACACUCCCUUCCGCACGAAUUAAUGCAGAAAAGUAUUGCUGUAUCAGGUGGAUGCAAGAGAAAUGUUUUCAGCUUAGAAGAAAGACUCAUGCUACUUAAAUAUGGUGAAAUACUGGAAUAAUUGAUGCCCAUCAUUUCGCAGAGAGGAAAGUGGCGAAAAUAGUGUUAGCUGGCACUCACCGGUGUGAUGUGAUGUGAAGAGCACUCCAACCUCCCCUCUGUGGCAUCUAAUCAUGAGCAAAACAUCAGACAAACUCAAGUUGCAGAACCUUCUACAAAGUACUUGACCAGUGCUUCUCAAAACUCUCAAGGUUGUGAAAGACAAGGAAAGACUAAGAAAUUGUCACAGGUCAGAAAAGAUUAAAUGCAAUGUGGAAUCCUGGAUUGGACGCUGGAACAGGAAAAAGUGGAAAAACUAGUAAAAUCCAAAUAAAGUCUGCAGGUUGCUCA